rnacentral:rRNA from 1 species
AGUGAGUGGCGAACGGGUGAGUAACACGUGGAUAACCUACCUCAAGGUUGGGGAUAACAUUUGGAAACAGAUGCUAAUACCGAAUAAAACUUCGUAUCGCAUGAUACAAGGUUAAAAGGCGCUACGGCGUCACCUAGAGAUGGAUCCGCGGUGCAUUAGUUAGUUGGUGGGGUAAAGGCCUACCAAGACAAUGAUGCAUAGCCGAGUUGAGAGACUGAUCGGCCACAUUGGGACUGAGACACGGCCCAAACUCCUACGGGAGGCUGCAGUAGGGAAUCUUCCACAAUGGGCGAAAGCCUGAUGGAGCAACGCCGCGUGUGUGAUGAAGGC